rnacentral:tRNA from 1 species
AGGAAGUAAUGUAAGAACUGCUAACUCAUACUCCCGUGCCUACACCCACGGCUUCCUC